rnacentral:misc_RNA from 1 species
UGAAAUGCUUAGGAUGCUCUUUUUAGAGGUCCGACCACAUUACAUUUUCCCAACACUGUGCACACACUUCUUUUUACACCCAUUUUAUUAACACCAAGUUUAUGAAUGUCAAAAAGUCUCUUAAUUGAGCAUUUAAUUUAUAUUA